AAGUCGUAACAAGGUUUCCGUAGGUGAACCUGCGGAAGGAUCAUUAUGAGUGUUUGAGGGAUAUGUUAGAUUGUGAAGAGGUGUGCGUGUGCAGGGGGAGAAUGAAUGGAUUGAUUACCGGGGUAAUUGAUUAUUGAUUUUUUACCCGGGGGCACACACACAAAAUAACAAGAACGAUAGUAGUAGUAGUAAUUUAGUGCUUCAAAGAGGAGCACAACAACAAAAACAAAAAUACAACUUUUAACAAUGGAUCUCUAGGCUCUU
rnacentral:misc_RNA from 1 species